UUUAUGGAGAGUUUGAUCCUGGCUCAGGAUGAACGCUGGCGGCGUGCCUAAUACAUGCAAGUCGAGCGAACGGACGAGAAGCUUGCUUCUCUGAUGUUAGCGGCGGACGGGUGAGUAACACGUGGAUAACCUACCUAUAAGACUGGGAUAACUUCGGGAAACCGGAGCUAAUACCGGAUAAUAUUUUGAACCGCAUGGUUCAAAAGUGAAAGACGGUCUUGCUGUCACUUAUAGAUGGAUCCGCGCUGCAUUAGCUAGUUGGUAAGGUAACGGCUUACCAAGGCAACGAUGCAUAGCCGACCUGAGAGGGUGAUCGGCCACACUGGAACUGAGACACGGUCCAGACUCCUACGGGAGGCAGCAGUAGGGAAUCUUCCGCAAUGGGCGAAAGCCUGACGGAGCAACGCCGCGUGAGUGAUGAAGGUCUUCGGAUCGUAAAACUCUGUUAUUAGGGAAGAACAUAUGUGUAAGUAACUGUGCACAUCUUGACGGUACCUAAUCAGAAAGCCACGGCUAACUACGUGCCAGCAGCCGCGGUAAUACGUAGGUGGCAAGCGUUAUCCGGAAUUAUUGGGCGUAAAGCGCGCGUAGGCGGUUUUUUAAGUCUGAUGUGAAAGCCCACGGCUCAACCGUGGAGGGUCAUUGGAAACUGGAAAACUUGAGUGCAGAAGAGGAAAGUGGAAUUCCAUGUGUAGCGGUGAAAUGCGCAGAGAUAUGGAGGAACACCAGUGGCGAAGGCGACUUUCUGGUCUGUAACUGACGCUGAUGUGCGAAAGCGUGGGGAUCAAACAGGAUUAGAUACCCUGGUAGUCCACGCCGUAAACGAUGAGUGCUAAGUGUUAGG
rnacentral:rRNA from 1 species